UGACAGAGCUCAGUCCUUCAUGGAGAUUUGU
rnacentral:piRNA from 1 species